rnacentral:rRNA from 1 species
UUUUUGAAAAUAAUAUAAAGUCUAGUCUGCCCACUGAUAAUUUAUUAAAGGGCUGCAGUAUUUUGACUGUACAAAGGUAGCAUAAUCAUUUGUCUCUUAAUUGGUGACUUGUAUGAAAGAUUGGAUGAAAUAUAAACUGUCUCAUUAUAAUUAUUAAAACUUAAUUUUUUAGUUAAAAAGCUAAAAUAUUUUUAAAAGACGAGAAGACCCUAUAGAGUUUAAUAAUUAUUUUAAUAUAAAUAAAAUGUAAAAAUUAAAAUUUAAAUUAAAUUAAUUAUUUUGUUGGGGUGACAGAAAAAUUAAAUUAACUUUUUUUAAAAAUAAACAUGAAUAAGUGAGUAAAUGAUCCAUUAUUAAUGAUUAAAAGAAAAAAUUACCUUAGGGAUAACAGCGUAAUUUUUUUUUUUAGGCCAAAUAAGAAAAAAAGUUUGCGACCUCGAUGUUGGAUUAAGAUAAAAUUUAAAUGCAAAAGUUUAAAAUUUUGAUCUGUUCGAUCAUUAAAA